GGGAAUAUGGCUUAGUGGUAGAGUGCUUGUCUAGCACGCAAGAAGCCCUGGAUUUGAUUCCUUAGUACCA
rfam:Dipodomys ordii contig_26043, whole genome shotgun sequence.